CCUCAGGCAGCGGCGGAGCGCGGUGCCCGGCGGGCGGGAGACAGGGAGAGCGGCGUCCCGCAGGCACCGCCCGCAAACUUUGUUUCUCCCCGCCCCAGCCUCAACCCCAGCCCCAACUCCAGCCCUAGCUGUGCCGAGCCGGCGAGGGGAGGGAGGGAGAGAGCUGCGGGGGCCGGCCGAGCGCUGAAGGGGCCGCUGGCGGCGGGGGCAGAGACGGCUGUAGGGGAAUCCGGAGCCCCUGGGCGCGCAGUGCUGGGCGCUGGCACACCUGCGGGCAGGUGGCCUGCUCCGCCGCCGGCUCUGUGAGCUCGAAGGGGAUCAGUCACAGACAGGCUGAGGCUGAACAUCCUGCGUCCGCCUGAGUCUGUGCCCCUCUGGCCCACCCCUGCUCUAGCAGGUACCGAUGGCCAGGCGGCAUCUCAACAUCCCCAAGGAGGAGACCCCACAGCCUCUGGGCAACCUGUGCCAGUGCUUCGGCACCGCACAGCAAGGCAGUGCUGCCUGGUGCUCAGAAGGAGUCCCUGUGCCCAUUGCCUCCUGUCCUGCAAAUGGCCCAGCAGCCUGUGGCCAUCAGCUGUGUGAGCCACAGCCAGGUCCCACUGCACCUCCACUUCUAACACUUCUUCGUUGAUACAGGGAUAGAUUUUCUGAAUUCACAGAAUUUACUCAUAGCUACGGAGCAGUAAGAAAUUAAGCACCCGAUGUCAUUAAAAACACCCCCAGUCUUCGGCAGCAUCAAUAACUUCUUCCCCCUUCAUGACAGUGCAAAAGCAAGAACAAACCCUGCACACCCUGUUUUGUUACUGAUGUUACUACUGGCAGUAAACACAGGUGUUUUUUUUUUCCUCAGUUUUCUUUCGAAAAAUCUUUAACUCCUCCCGGGUAACAGUGAAGGAUAUUCAGUUUGAUCUAAUAAACUGCACAAUUUGAUGCCGACUGGAAUGCUUCACAAAUAAUAUAAAUACAGUCACACCUGCAGAAUACUUCACUGAAUUAUGCUUGAAGAACACCACUUGUACCUGGAUAAUAACAAAAGAGCAUGGACAAUCCUCAGAGUUGUUCCUGUGCUUUGCUAGGGAACAAAAACUGAUCAGAAGCUCAGCACUCAGUAAUAGAACUCAUGACCACUCAAUCUACAGGAGAAAAAUGAGUUUUUUGUGAACUGCAGCGACAGCUAUUUUUACAACACACACAGUAUUUUCAUGUCAAGAAAACUGGAAUAAAGUAUUUGUAACACAAAGUGUUUCAAGCACUUAUGUGGGGACAAGAUGAAUCCUCUCUUCCUCUCCAGUAGCAACAAAUGUUGGCCAGGGCAACCUGCCUAGGCUGGAUGCUUCACUCAGGAGUAUUCUAAAUGGAACAUUUAAUUGGUGACCCUACAUGAGUUGGUGAGUUACUAAAAUACUGUGAAGCAAACAUCUCUAAAUUAGAUAAUGAUUAUAAUGAUAAUGAUAGCAACAGGAAUCUCUAAUAUACAGUUACCACAUAAUUGGCAAAAAUAAUAAAACAUGUAGAAGUAAUUGCUAAAGAUAUUUUUUAAAGUCUUGGCUGUAAAGUUUUCUAUCUAUAAAAACAACAGCAGACAACUUCCUUCAACAUCUUCAUCCCUGCCAGACAUGGCAGAAAAGUCAGUGCUUGUGGUUUAAUACAUCUGAACAACCAUUCCUGACUUCAUUUGAGGAAGGGAUGCAUACUGCUACCAGGCUGCUUCGUUGGCAGUGCGUGGCCUCAGUGGGAAUUCAGAUGUGGCCUCAAGGCCAUGCAUAGAUCUGGGAGACCCCAUAUCUCCUUGCCAUGUGUAAUAAAAUGUAUAUUAUAUAUAUUUAUAUGAUACUAUAAUAUAUAAAUUAUUUUCUACCAAGACAAUCACUUUAAGUGCUCCAGAAUCAUUUUAACUGCUACUAAUUGGUUUGUGUCACCAGUUACAAAUGAAUAAAAGCCCCAUUAAAUGAACUGCAUCCAAACUCUAGCAAUUUCAAUGCUAGAGCAUUACAAAGCAUGAGAUUUCCAGGUACUUUUUAAAAUUUCUGAUAAUUUGUUCAAAGAAUAGUACAUUGCAUGAAUCCAGGUCAAGCUGAACAAGGUCAAGCAUGUGCUAUAAAUGUAUGUACUAUCCCGAGGCAAUUCUAUUUGUAGGCUUUGACAUACCAUCAAAUAUUUUGGUGGCUAAUCUACAGAACCAGGAAAGCAAUUGCUUAGUGGUUGUAUUCCCUAAAAAUUACUACAAAAAAAAAUCACAUAACAUGAAUUUAUGCAUUAGAUCUUCAGGACCUGGUCUAAAAACAGACAACCACUCCUGGGAUUCUGUAUUUAAUACACAUAUAUUUCCUUACAGCAUGUGCAGCAAUUAAACACAGGAAAAAUAAUAAUGGAAACAAUAUAUUCUCCACCUUUUUCAGUCUUCAGACUGACUGGGUGUAUUUCAGCAAAUGUGCUCCAACUAAACACAAAUUAUGAGACUUUAAAUGGAGACACUUAGGAAGAACAAUGAUUUGAUAAUUCCUUCAUGAAUCCUUCAUGAUUCCUUCAUGAAGCACUUUUUUGCUCAAAGAAAAAAUAAGGUUGUUUUUUUUUCCCAUUGCUACUUCUAUGUACUGAACCCGGAUGUUAUAAUUUUCAUGAUGUGAGGAAUGCAACAUUAUUUGUGUGGAGGAUUUUUUAUUAUUGCCUACUCCGGUUCCCAAAUGCAAGAAAAAAGAAUACAUACGUUGCCAUAAAGAGGUUCCUAAAGUCUUGUGCACAUUUUUAAGGGACUUCUCUGGUUCUGAUACUAUGGAAAAGUGACCAAAAGUUUCUUACCACCACCUUAAACCUGAAGUUAAGAAGGUGUUCUGGGAAUGGGACUGGGAAUGAGUUUUUGCCCCUUUCUUCGUCACCAUGUCAAUCACUGACCACUGACUUGUUUGCUUUAAACACUGUUGUCUUCAGAAAAGAUAGUGCAGCUGCCUACCCUUCUGUACAUCUUAAUUAUCUUUACCUUGCACUGUGCCCAUCGACUACUAGGUAUAAGAUAUUACACUUAUAAUUGAAACACUUUAAUCACUUUCCAAAUACAUCAACAAUCAAAAAAUCUUUGUGUAAUAUGUCAUCUAAAAGAAAGGUGAAAGGCUUCCCCUUAAAACGUGAGGGACAGCUCCUACACGUCCUUCUGAGAUGCAAUCCAGGCCAAGUUUUAUGUGACUUUUGGUCUAUCUUCACAACCUCCAGCCUUCAUGGAGCAGAGACAUCCAAUGCAUUUCAGAAAGGCAAAACUGAUAUAUAUCAUCACUGGGCUCCAAAAAAGAGUUAGUUAAAUUAUCUCCUUCCCCCCCCCAAAAGGAAAAAAUGAAGUUGAAAACUCAGCCUUUAUCAAAUUCUAGGAAUCCCACAUAAAUGGGAGAAUUAAUGCUGGUAUUACCUUGGAGGAUUCACAAUUCUCCAGAUGUAUUAUUUAAGUAGUACUUCAAGAUCCUUAUAAGCGCUGCCCAGUCAGACUAUAACAGUGUUAUUAGGUGUACUAACAACCUGUUUCUCACUGCAAUUUGAUAAAUGUGAGAACUGUACAGACAUCCUCAUGCCCACAGAGGGGAAUGUGGCAGGUCCAGCCAUGCAGAAGAACAGGGCAGGCCAUAGAAAGCUACAGGUCCUUGACAAGAUAACGGCUGUUUUUACUGCUUCCCAAAAUACAAAAAAUAGCUGGCUUUGCCUUAGCAUUUUCUUGAUUGUAACUAACAUAGUCACGAAAGCCAUUCUAAUCCCUGCAUAUUCCCAGGCCUCAGUUCCCUGUCCAUGGGCCAAGUCCUGCAGCAUGGACCACCAGUGGUCUCCUAUUCUCCUCAACGUUUCAUGAUAGCAUGACCACUCCUACAUCAUAUCCUCAGCAAUCAGGAUACCAGUAUUCUAAAUUGCAUUUUUAAAAAGUCAAUACAUUUUGCAUUUUCUCAGUGUUCCAUAUGAAGCAGCCACAUUUUUCCCUCUGCUGAACCGAUAACAACAAAUUUUUCCAUUCUGCUUCUUUUGGCAUUUGCUACUGGAAGGUCAACUCCACCCUAAGUAGCAAGCUAGGUCCACAGUACAGAUUUCUACCAAAAUAGCUUUGCUGACUGACACAGCUGUUCUGGGAGAAUUCCCUAGUUGUUAGUGCAAGUGUGGUUAUAUCAGCAAAACAGUGUUCUAUUAGUGCUGCUUGUUUUGUGUACCCACUUCUGGACUCAUCUGCUGGUUCCCAGUGCCAGAAAAGUGUUCCUGUUCCUGUUCCUGCUGCCUGAACAGCCUGUGCCAAUGGAAGUCUACCUGUAAGUAAUUUGGCCCCAGAAAGGAUUAUUUAAAAGCUUUGCACGUUUUAAGACCACAUACAGAUGUGAAGAACUGAAGGAAGCAGCUUUCAUGUCUCUUCCAAAACACAGAUUUCAAUUUCUGAGAAAGAAAUUUAGUAAUUUUAACAACGUGUGGAAGGAGAAGUAGUAACUUUUUUUUUUCCCCUAGAAACAGGAUGCUUUCAGGUCCAUGGAGAUAUCAGUUUUAAUUUCUUAAACAAUGAAGUAGGAUUGCUUGUCCUGCAGUUGGUAUUCUGUAUUAUGCCUUAAUGAACAUAAAUGAAAUCUGGAAAACGAAAUCUCUCUCUUGCUUUAACGCUAAUAUUAGUCACGCUUGAAAGCUGGCUGUGAUUAUUUAAAUAACAUAUUUAGGUUUCCCCUCUGAUGUUUACCAUAAAACCCCCAAAACAAAAUAAAUCACACUUUUUCUAAAUUGCAGAGGGAGCUGCUAAUGGCCCAGCAUGCAGUAACGCGGCACAGCGAGCUCACAGGUAGCUGGGAGGUCAGCAGUGGAGCAGAAAGCCUUUACACAGCUAAGUAUUUCUAUUUUGAUUAAAGUAAUUUCACACCUUCCUGAUCACAAGGCAACCUACAAACCACAAGGUGUUUGAGAACUCAGGAAAACGUAUUACUUUAUGGUACUUCAUCAGGGUGAGAAAUAAAGAGCGUGGAAAUAAAAAUGUACAUGCUCUUCUGAGGUUAAAAAAGUUUGUUUUCCAAUUUUUUUGAGAAAGAACCCCACAGAAAACAAUGUUAAGCUGUUAAAAAAAUCGUGAAAAAGCAUGCAUAGAGGCUAUCUGCUCUUUAUUUAGAUCUCAAUCCACCCUUUUUUUUCUCCAAGACAGAAAAUUGGCACAGAAUAACUUUCUUUAUAAUGAAACCCACCAGCUUAGAAACAAGCUGCAGGUAUUCACAUAUACUCUCAAACAAUAUUUCCCCUACCUGCGCACUCCACAGAAGGUUCACAAAAUGUCCUAUAUGAGGUCAUUGUAAUUUAUUUCUGAAACUGGAACUUCAUGAAACAUGAUUUGUUUCUGUCUGUAAUUCAGCCCUCAGCACCUAAGUGACCAAAGUAGUGGGGAAAAGCUGUGCUUGAACAGUUUGGGAGCACAGUGUACUGCAGCAAGGAAUGUGCAGAGGUAACAAACGCACUGUGUUGAUGCAGCUAUCUGCUGGUGUUACCUAACAAAAGAUACUGUGGAAAAGCACCCUGUUAUCUCUGUGCUUUUAUUUUUCCAGAACAAAAUAAAAUUACUGAGAUUGUGUUUUGCAAACGAUAGGUGACAAUGAAAAAUGAAAACAGGCUGGAAAGCAAGGUAUGUAUCUGCCACCCACUGACUCCUGUCCCUGCAGCACCUACAGCUGAGACUGCUGCUAAAAUGCAGGUCUGGUCAGAUGUCUGCCAUGAGACUAUUACAUUAUCAUUGAGUGGUAAAAGCUUUGGUGAGUCCAAAUGUCAGCACUGGAAGGGGACAUUUAUCUUGCAAAGUCAGUAACCUAAUUUUGGUAUAACCCAUAGAAGGUUAAUGUACAUGAAGCAGGGAUUAAUUUGGAAAGUUCUGUGCCUAUCCAUUAUCUGUUUUUCUUGCAGAAAAACUUGUUGGAAACAUCCCACCCCACAUCCCUCUGCAUUACUACGAUGCAGAACAGACACACAGCUGUGCUGUGUAAAGCCCUGCAGGGACACACUAUAUCCACCUGGCAAAGCACACUCCUUCCAAACGCCUGCAUGUCUCCUGGUUUUCAAUUCACUAAGGAAACACCUUAAUUGGAAUGGUCAGCUCUGACCCCACAGGCAGAGCUGGAGCCAGUCAUGUGCACUGGGACUAGCCAGCAAGAACAAUGAAAAUAGCUCUCCAAGCAGAUCUAAAAGAGCAAGAGAAAUAUAUAUUUUUAUCUACUGAAGUCAUGUUUAACUGACAAAAUCACAAAUUUUAGCUUUAUAGCUUUUUAGCUGUUGUAUACUUCACACUGUCUUUUCUGCUGGGGAACAUAUGCUGUUAUUACACUGCUCUCAUUUCCACAGUGUUUGAGUCAGAGCAGUGUCUCUUCAGCCUUGAUCAUACAGUCACAUGAAUCCCAAAAUCCCAUUGCUGAUGAAAAACACUUUUUUUCUCUUUCGCUUGUUUUUGUUCUGGUAAUCUACAGCUAGAUCUGAGUGAGUAAGUGCAGUACCAAGGCACAGUGUGAGCCACUGGAACUCGAUCACUUAUUGCUACACUGUUAGAAGUCCCUCACAAGGUAUCAGCCUGAACUACUCAUGCUCCUCCAAUAAAUCCUUCGUUCAGUAGUUACAGCAGGCCAGAAAUCACUUCCAAAAUGGGGUUCUGGAUGGUGAGAGAGCUGCACAAUAUGGCUUUGCAUAAUUUGGUGCCAGCUGGACUGAGUGCCAGUGAGCAAGCCCGUGUGCUUCAAUGCUGCUCAGAGGAAACUUAUUUCUCUCAGAUAUGACACUACUGGAGAUGUCAAACUGCCAGGCACAAAUUUGACUGCAGGUACAAAAUGCAAUGUUUACUUGCCAAACAACUGAUUUGGCUUCAAAUCACUCUGUUACAGAUAAACUUAGGGAAGAAGUAAGCUGUCUGAAAGCUGCCAAUUAGCUACGUUAUCAUUGUAUUAAUGCGUUCAAAUAUGAUUCAAAACACUGUACAUAAAGUUUUCAUUGCUGUGAGUAACCUGAAACACUCAGAAUACCUUUCACACUUUGCAGAUCAUCUUGUGUCAAGCCCCCACCACUUCUUGGGUGGCUGUGUGGCUGCUGGUAGAUGUAUGGUCUGGCCAGAUGCAGGCAUUGGCAGCAUGCUCCUGCCUCGCCAAACCACCCUGCAUGCGGCGCUCUCCUACCCCACAGCUUGUUUGGUCAAAAACACCACUGCAGCCUUCCAAGGAAUAACUAACACACUGCUACCUUCUCAGAUGCACAUAUAACAUAAGACAACUUCUGAGGUCCGUGGCUUUCCCACUCUGAAGCCAUGGGCCAAUUCACAGACAUCCAACAGGCAGCUUGCCUUCUGUACCCAGACCAGGCUAACUGCCCACUAAGCUGGAAUUCCUCCUAUAUGCACGUGUGUCUGCCUCUAUGAACAUACAUGUACAUGUACAUUAACAUAUAAAUACAUGCACGCAGACAUGCAUAAAAAAUGUUAUUCUGUGUUUAUCUGCACACACUUGCAUCUAUACCAUAGUAACAGUUUUAUAUCUUAGAACGUAUAGGAGUAGAUGAUCAAGUGAAAAAAGUAAUCAAGACAACAGCCCAUCUGUUUAACAUAAUUAAACAGUAACAAAAUAAUCUUACAUAUAAACUGUAUGUUAAAAAUAAUCAAUAUAAAUCAGUUUUUAUUAAAAAACAUAAGAUCAUUAAACUAUGUUCCCAUAAACUGCAGCUAAGUAGUACGUAAGCUGUUUUACAGAGGAGAUGAGAAACUCUCCCUCCCACUUAGAGAUCUGUCAGGAACUCUGGGUUCUCAGAACCCAGUAAGUCAAGCCAAUAAUUCUUUGAUUAUUUCUCCCCCCUCUGCCCCAUUCCUUUUGUUUCAGAAACAAAAUAAAAUAGAUACACAUUUUGUUAAUUAAAAUUCCUUUUUUUUUUUUUUCCUGUAUGAAUACUGGUUAUUGUUACUUUCUAAAAUAAUCUUUUGUGGAUUUAACAAAUGUCAGAUUUCCAUCAGAAUUCUGCACCAGCAUUCUUGUUUAGAAAGCUCUACAAAAUUCAGUUAGAAUAGAAGCAACCCACUAAUGCAAAUGAGUUAUUUGACUACAGCUUUUCUACAUUUGACUGUUAUGUAGUGCGUCAAAGAUAGCUUACUCUUUUCUUAAUUUUACAAUUGUGGGCCUUAAGGUAAUGUUUUAAUAUAGUUUAGUGAAUCAACUUCUCCUGUUUUUCUCUACACACUAUUCUAAAUCAGUCACUCCAUGUUUAAUAAUUUUAACAUUUGUGGUCAGUUUGGGGAAUAUCAGAUUGAGGGUCAUUUAAUAUAUAUGUGGCUUCAAUCCUGCAUGCAUGAACAGGGAACAGUGUUCUCUAAACACAAAUGUGACAAGGGAUUAUAUGUUUUAAACUGGCAUUUAAAUCUUACUCCACUCUGCAAUGUAAUAUGGGACAGAAAGCUAUACACAGUCCAGUUAAACUGCUGGUGCUGGUGUCUGUCAAAGACAUGAGGCUGCCUCUUGGCUUUGCUUACACCUGUGUAAUAGAGGGACACUCCCUGACCUCCUCUAGAUUAACUUUACAUUUGUUGCUUCAUAGAAGUCUAUCAGAUAAAUACAGAAAUCAGCUGAAUUAUGCCUUUUUUCUUUUAUAACAUCUUUUAUAAUUAAGCUACCAACAUGGCUAGAAUAUUGUCCUUAGGAGAGAGGUAAGUAUUCUUAAAUAGGACUAAAGAGAAGUAUCUUAAUACAGUGUUAAGCUCUUUAACUUGAAUAAUGAAAAACAGCAUUAACAUGAGUUACUCACACUUUUGCAAAAAGCCAAAUGAAACUUAUGGAUAACCUGUCAGAGUAAGGACAAGAGAGAUGUUCCUCUGUGUGCUGUUCUGAAUAAACCACAUGUAAACUUCAGGCUUUUGACAUCCACAAGGGACGGUGGCCCUCAGCCUCCUGUUUUUAUGUGCCAGACCAAACAGGGGACCAGAGACAAAUAGCGACAACGUAGAGAAUGAAAACGGCCAUAACAAGACAAACCAAAGGCCCAAUCAUUCAAUAUCCUGUCUAUGAGCAUGGCUAAUACCAACGCCUGAGAGCUGCAGGACAGAAAUAAAUCGGAUAGACCAAUCUGAAGUUAAUUUAUGAUUAAAAGAGAAUAUUAUGAAGAAGGACCAUAAUUUUCCCUUCAUUCCAUAUGAAGAAAAAUGGAAAACUUAUUCAGAAUUCCUAAGUAGGAAAAUCUUUUAAGGUCUACUUACUUUCAGUGAGAUCCAAACUCGCUCUUUGCUGAAGACAAAAAAGCAGUGAAAUGUAUUCACUUCUCUUUAGAGACUGGACAGAAGUGCCACAGCUCAUGGUGAGAGGUGACGAAAAGACAGGAAGAAGUGGGCUGAAGGUGGAACUGGAAAAUGCAGUUAAUUCUGUUACAGGUAAGAAUGACAGUUAACCCAAACUGGCUAAAGACUUCCCUACAAAGUAUUUUCUGAUGAAAUCAGAAUUUUUGGAGACAAGCCUAAGAGCAAAUGGAAACUAAGUUCAAGGACUUUCAAACGUUUUACCUGUGUGAUCACUGACUGUGAUUUCAGUUGGUUGUGUCCUGACUACAUCUCUGUAGAUAAGGAAAGAAAAGCAAUUAUGGAAUACAAAACUAUAAAGCUUAGAGUAACUAACAUGGAGAUAGAGGACGCAGUAAAAUUUACAUGGAAGUAUUACAAGCACGUUCCUCUGCCAUCUGCCUUAUCCGCCUGAUUUAAUUAUCUCUGUGGUCUGUUCAUUCAAACGUAGAUGAAAUUAUCCGAGGCGUUAUGAAACUACAAGGUGUUACGGAGGGUAGGCACAGGCUAAUAAAUCCUCUAUAGACACAUUCAUAAAGGGAUGACUGCAUGAAUCCAAUUUUCUUUAGCUACAUUUAUAGCAGUGAAGACUAAAGGGGCAGGACACUCACCCGUAACCACCCUGAUUACUUCUUAGCCAGCUGUCUCUCUGUGAUUUGACUCAAGCUAGCUGACCUUUCUCCAGAAGUGCGCUGCUCAGAAGGCAGCAUGGGCAUGGGAGGAGUCCAAUAGAUUUUAAGGAUGAGGAGAUCCCGCUAUGAAGAAAGCUUAAGAUAUGUUUGCCAUGUGGCCAUCAGUCAGAUCCUUCUCAGGACCAGGGAUGAUCUUUUUUCGUACCUUUAAGUGACCGUAAGACAUAAGAGGUGUCUCCAGUGGGAGACCUGCAGAUUCCUUUCCAUAUGUACCGCAUAUCUCCAAACCCCACAUAAGUACAGGUUGGCACUGAGGUAAAAUCAAAUGACAGCAAGUUUCUUUCUCAGUCCAGGAAAGCCGAGAAUAUGCUACAUGGAUAGAACUGUCCCAUGUUUAAAUUCAUUUCCCCACUGAGAGACAAGCAUGGUGGCAAAAGCCAGGCGCCAACUUGGGCCAUCUGAGAAAACUCAUUUCAAAACUGCAAAGAAUCCUUUUCCCAGUGGGGUUCUGUUCAACAAUUCCUAUAAUCUGCCAACAAGCUGCUUGGAAGCAGUUGCUUAAAUGGAAGAGUAAAAGGCAUGCAAGCAAAUGACUUCUGAGCACUUACAGACGUUUCUGUCAGGAAGCUGCUGAACUGACUGAUGUGUUCAUUUUCACGCUGCUUGACCUCUAAUGUGGAGCUGCUGCUGGCACCUGGUUUCUUUCAGUACAUUAAUUGAUUACGAUGAGUCCAGCUAGUGAGCUAGCUGAGAAGUGCUGCCUUUAAAGGUAACUCCUACAGCAGCAAAGUCCUCAGCUGAUGAGUAACUGAUGGAACAGCUCAGAGAACCAUUCCUGUUGCCUGGCAAAAUCUAACUCUCCGGAAUACUAUGUAUUCUACCCAUUUAAUUGCAAGUGAUUUUCUACACUUCCUGCUAUUCCUGUCCCCUUACUGAUGAAAACGUGACUUUAACAAGAUGGAGAUAUUAAAACUCAAAGUUUAGUAACUGCUGUAAGAGGGUAUUUUGCAGCAAGAUGGCUGAAGGGCUCCUCCAGAUCUCAUCUUCUAGAGGUUCUACUAAACAAAGAGAUCUGAGGCAGAAAACUGGAUUGUUUCUGUGUCAGGAGUGGAUUCACAACAGUCUUUCCUCCCGCUGUGAGGGUCAGCAUCCUUCAAAUGUGCCACUACUUUCAGUGAAAAUCCUCAUGUGCUUAAUAGCAAGCACAUGUACUCAUUUGUUUAUUUCCAACAUUUGUAACUAAUAUUCAACCUCAAAAAGAAAAUUGGAACAUUUUUAAAACAGGGUAAUCUUAAAAACCCUGCCUAAACAUUUUUCUUCCUCCACAUUACAUUUAUCCAUACAAAAACUGAACUUGCAUCGGCAGGAUGGGAGCUUAAGUUUUGGUCUUGUAAUUUAAGGUAUACAGAGAUUGUAAGCUGAACCAACUAACCCAAAGGUUAUGUACAUUGUGUGCAAAUACAUCAGAAAAAUCUACUGAAAUAAAAAAUUACUUAGUUGACAAGGAACAGAAUAUUUUUGCCUUUUUUUUAAGAAACCAUUCAGCUUUUCCUAAACAUUUUCCAGUGAGAACUGUUUGAGAACAACGUGCAUGUUUUAUUCCUCCUGUACCAUGUGCUCAACAAUGAUUUUUUUUACUUUCUAGAAUACUUAGCAUACAUACCCUUGAGAAGGAAGAGACUGUUUUAACUGAAUUUGAGCCUUAACAGGAUUAGAGCAAAUUCUAUCACUUUUUAAAGCAGUAAUCAAAAUGCACUACUAGAAUCCGUACUGACAUUAAAGAAAAAUCUUUAAGAAAUUCCUCAAUUGUAUCCUAAUAGAAAGUAAAAACCUAUGGCAAAAAAAUACAGUUCAGCAUUGUCCUUCCUGAAGUAGAUUCUCAAGUUUCCACUAAAUUUAGAUGCACUUGUGAUGACUUCAAAACUCUCACUACUCAUUGUCAAAGCGUUCAGUAACUGGUCAGUAUAAGCAUGUGCUUUUUGUUUUACUUCAAUUUCUUCAAAUUGAAAAAGAAUUCCUUUUACCUGGUGUUGUCCAGCAAGACAGUUAAAAAGCAGGAUGCACACCCAGAAAGUCAGAAAAAAUAAUUUCAAAAAAUCCUGUUUUUGAUGUGUUACUAAAGCAUAGCGUAGGGACUAUGUAAGUUUAGGCUUGUAUGCUGGCUCUCCAUUGACUUCUGCUAGUCCUCAGGGAACUUCUCAGCGCUGUUCCUCUUUUAUCAUUCCCGGUCACUGUCUCACUUCUCCAUACAGACUUCAAGACUCAGAUAUGAAUAAAAAAUGGUUAAAAUUGGGGUUCCAGAGUAUAAAAUGUUCAAAAUUUGGCAACUCGUUCCAAAGAAAUAAAUGUGAAAAUUCUGCUCAGAACCUCACUGUGCAUAGAUUUCCAAUAAAUCAGCUUUCUAUUCUAAUUUUCCCUCUAAUUUUGAUUCUAUGCAUGCUGAGAAUUGACUGACUCUUGCCAACAUGAAGACAGCAGGGACUGAGCCUAUACAGCAGCAUUCAGAAAAUGCAAGUUCUGCAUAAGAUCUGCUAAGAUUUACAUACUGCAGCUAAAGGAUUGUGCUUAAGGAAUACAGUGCUGGCCACCACUUUCCUUUGUAACAUCUCUAGAGAAGCAGAAAGUUCUGUGUCGCAAGCAAGAGGGUGUUCUCAUGAUGGAGGAUGAUCUGGGUACAGAGCCCAACUCCUGUUUUUGAAGACUGAUGUACCUCCUGCUUUCUUCGUGACUACUUGGCAUACGCCAUCUGACACAGGCCUGACUCACGCUACUUUGCAAACAACUGAAUUUGUUAGCACCCAAAAAAGGCCAAAUAAAGCACUGAUAAGGGACCCAUGUCUGUAGGCCAGUGGUUAGGGUGAUUAGAUGGCUCAGCACCCUUAUCCAAUGAUUGCUGGGAAAUAACAUUGGUGCUUUUAGCUAAUUUUAAAUUACUGUCUUGCUAAUAUAAUUUAUCUGAUACAAGUUUUGUGUGACAGCAUCAUCACUCUUUAUUUGUGAUAGAAAAAGCCAAGCAAAAUGGAGAUGCCUAGGAAGCAUAUACCAGUUCAUGACAAGGGAAAUCAUCACAAGGAAUCCAGUCCACACAACUGUAUUCUCAAUUUCUGAAUAAUUUCCCAUGAGAACUGUAUGUUUUCCAGCACCCGCAAAGUAUUAGAACUUCUGCUUCUCCCAUUUCACUCAAUGGAGAGCACAGAUUUGAGUCUUACUUACCAUAGAUGCAUAUGACAGCCUGCAGAAAUGGGCAAUAUGAGACUGCAGUAAAACUAAACUUUUUUAAUACUGCAGCAUCCACAUAAGUUCAAUAUCAGUUAAGCCAGAGAACUGUUCAGAAUUAGUCUGGGAAGCAGGACUGUAAUACCAGCUUUACCUCCGGUGACAUUUUUGUGAUUUUUUUUAUAUGGAGGUAAUUAUUUUAGGAAAUAUCUCCUAUCCUUAGAAAUAAAUUUGCAUUAUCAUAAGAGUAUUAAUGUUAUUGCUCAUUGCAUGGGCAUUGUUAGACACAUAAAUUCAAUAUUGAGCUAUGACUUGCUACAGGACCUUUAGUAUUUCCUUGCAUUCAAGUACACCAAAUAAAAUCCUAUAUUAUUAUGAAAUGUUAAACCUAAAAAGAUGCAGCUGUAAUAAAACUGUAAAUAUAAAUGUAUUUAUUCUUGGUGCUGGAAUCAUGGUUCUGAGACCUGUCCUAGAGGAAGGUAUGAGAGCCCUCUUUGUUCUUCCUGAUCUCAGUAAAUCAGCCUCCAGGGCACAGUGCUGUUUAAUGAAGGUGCUUCAUAGAGCAACAUGUGGAUGAGUAUUAUCUUUCUAGAAUAAUAUAAGCGUGCAGUCAUUGAGGUGGCUAUGUAAAAAAAUCGGCAAGUCUAGAAAUUUUAAUUUACCUGGAAAUAGCUGUUAUUCUCUAAAAUAUAAACCAUAGAGAUAUACGGAACUACAAGGACAUGAGCAUCUUGGACAUUUCAGGCUGGCUGAAAAGUGAAUAAUUGCCCAAACAGAAGUACAAAAUUGCCUACAAAGUUCUUCUCUUCUAGUUUCUAUGAAUGCAGAGCCCUUUUACACAGAGUAUCCAACAAAAAAUUCAUACAUAUAGGUUGCCUAAAGGAUUAUGAGGUUACAAAAGUAUUCCUCAAACAAAAAUUUAUGGAAAGAUUAAAUUAUUCUGUUGAAUAUCUCUCCUAUAGCAUAAAAUAGAAAUGUUUUCCAGAUUAAAUUAAUUCAAGAGGGAGCAUAAUGGGUUUUGCUUAUGCAACAAUGGAAAGCACAGAUCUUGUUUACUGGGAAUACAGAAAUAAAAUAGCUUUAAUCUUUUUUUUUUUUCUGAUGAGAUAUGUUUUUUUUUUAGUGGGAAUCUUAUGAGAAUUCUGCUCUGAAUAAGAACAGAUAACUUAGCAGUAUUCUUACCAAGAAAGAUCACCCUACAUUUCUCUCUCUAUUUUUACCUCUAAUUAUGAAAGGUGUGAAAAUCUUGUAGAAGGUCAAGCUAAAUGUUCUGAUCUCACUUAGAGCUUGCUGCUUUUUUUCCCUUAUUAAUGAGACCAAGUGGUAAUAUAAGUAAGUGGCCUUUUUAAGGAAAGGGUUGGCAACACAGAAAAUUAUUUUUAGAAAUAUAAGUCAUUUUUUUAUCAUGCAAAUGCCUACAAACAGGGAAUUUGGUUUUACUUCUACCACAGUCAAUUGGAAACCUCACGGGUGUCUAUUUAUCUACCUAUUAACUCUCCAGAGUUCAUUUAGUAAAAGCUGAUUAAUGUUCUUGGUAAUGCGUUCAUUAUAAUGGCUCUUUCUCCUUGGUAAAGGAGAGUCACAAGUCUCAACUAAUCAGUAGAACAAAUUGGCCUUAAUCUCUUGUCAACUACUAAUCCGAUAUUUCUAUCAAAGUAAUAUGAGCUUAUUUUGAAAUAAAAUCAGAUUAUACAUCGGGAAAACUGAUACACGUACGAUACUACGUAUUAAAGCUAUUUGUUAACAACGUUAAUCUGCUUCUGGAAUAGGAGAGAGAAUAAAACGCCACACAAAAGACAAUGUUUCAUUGUUAGACAAUGAAAGCCAAUUGAUGAAGUUUUUCCUUCCGUCUCCACUGUUGGAAGUUAUUAAUCACCUUCUUUUUAAUAGAAAACAUGUACUGCACGUGUGGUAGAAGACUGUUCUUUAUAAAAAUGCAAACUUUCAACUGAGAAAUGUGAAAAGACCAAUGUUCCCAACAGAUUCUUUUCAAUCAUACCAGUAAUUGAGGAAAUGACUUUGUGGGAUAUAUGGUUGGUUCACAACAAACUGAAGACAUUCUACAUAUGAAAGUAGCACUUCAGACCCUAGUUUCAAUACUCUAUAAACUACACAGAAUACAUAAUUUUAAGACACACGCAGAAAAUAAAAUCUCACUCAAAACAUAUGGACACAAAUCUCUGCAGGCAUUACUGCACUAUUACGUAUCAAGUCAUGACAUUACAUGCGUUCUCUUUUAUUACAUAUUUUAAUAGAUGUCAGCUAUUGUAGUCACAUUCCUAUCUAUGCCAUGGCAUUCUCAAAUGCUGAGAAUGUACAGAACUCUGUACAUGUGACUGAAUGUGCACACAGGAAAUGUUUUAAAAUGUAUGGGUCACAGUGUGGUCUACCAGAUAAAAAAUCUUUUGAAAACAAACUGCUCAGGCAGUUUAUAAGCACAGUGGGCCUUAGCUAACUAAAGAAGGCAAAACAUUUGUCAGGAGAUACAUGUCAGCUAAAUAAGGUAUCUGCCUAUCUGCCUGGCAGAGAUUUGAGUUAGAAGCAAGACAGGAUAAUCUGAAGAGGACAAAGAUUUCACCCAUGAACUGAAUUUAAUGGAAGGCUACAGGUUUGCACCUGUAUGCAAGCCUGGUCAUCAGUUCUCUUGGGACUGUCUAGCAGGAAACAACUGAAUUCCAGAUGUGAGCAGCUGAGCAGACAGCACUGAGAUGCUGGUUGGGAUCUGCAUUUUGUCUUUGAUUUACCUUGUAAAGGAAGCCAGCUAUUCCACCAGGAGAAAUGCCUGUGGAAUUAAGACCUGAAGGUCACAACAUAAACUCCUCCUAACCUGCCAGCCUUCUAGGAAUGAUAUCUUGAAUCAUGUGUUGGGAUUAUUCCUUCAGUGAUUUUUUGUAGCAGUGAAAACAUACUGGAAUCAGAACUAAGGUCAAGUCUCAUUCACCUUGUCAAAUCUACUCUAUAGUAUCCUGUAUUUUACUAAAGUCUUAAGUAAAACUUAUCUUAAGUACAAUUACUUUUGUGUCACACAACGAUUAACUUGAUUCCAAGGAAAAAUAAAUUACAGAGAUUUCCAGGCUUUGUUUUUAAAUUGCUUUGAAAUAAAUCACAAAAUACAGAUCCUGUAUAUUCUCACACCUAAAUCUUUCAUUAAGUCAAAUAAUAUCACAACUAGCAGUGCUGCUGCUACAAAUUUUAACGAGGAGAUCUAAUAUGAAAUGGAAAAUAAAUAAAUAAAUAAAUUGCAAUGCUUCCUUAAACAAAAACGUUAAGCAGAAAAUGAGUUUUGUCUAUUUGGAGUCAUUGUGUUCUGUAUUCCAGUGGUCUUAACACCGGCAGUUUUUCUGUUAUUUCUUUUCCCUUAAGGAGAGUGAUUCACAGGGCACCAUUUUUAAGAUCCUUUCAUGUGAUGGGUCUGAGAACACCUCACCCAUAUGUACUGGACACUUGGAUUCUCUUGGCAAGAUCAAUAGAAACGGUCAGUUCUUAGUGUCUGUGUCAAUGAAAUCAGGUCAGCCCAACUUCCUAAAUUUUUAUUCUGCUCUCAUAAAUUACCUCUGAUGAACUUGUUCAGUAGAGUUAAUCGAUUAGCAGUUUUCUAGGCAUUUUAAGGCUGCAUUAUAUCUCUGAGGAGCAUACAACAUUGCUUCUACUGCUUAUCCAAGUUUUUGUCAUAUUUCAGAUGUAUUCAAUCUGCUCCUUAGAGCAGAUUGUGUCUUCCAACACAAAAUAGACACUAAUCAUAACUGAAUGAAAUCAAAAUGCUUUUGGUGGAUAAUAAAUUAUAUCAUUGUUAAUAUUAAUACAGCUACUCCUUUUCAUCCCACCUAGAACAACAGAUCAAAAUACCCUUUAUUCAAAAGACAAAGAGUUCCUACCAGAAUACACUAGAAAUACAGACUAGAAUAAGAAGUACUUUUGGUUAUAUGUAUUUCGUGUGUCGAUAUAUAGUACUAUGCCAUAUAGCAGAAGUAACAUAAAAUUAAAUUGAAAUGACAGUAAAAAUUGAUCUUUUAAGGAAUUUAUACUAUGCCAUAUAACAGAAACAACAUAAAAUUAAAUCAAAAUGACAGUAAAAAAUGAUCCAUUAAGGCAUUUAUUGUAUGCCUGAUUCACAUGUAUGACAGCAGCUAUAAUGACCCAUUUUCAAAAAUUUCUGGCAUAGUUUUAGUUAUAAAAUAUGAAUGAAGAAAACCAUUGAAACACAAUUAUGCCUAACAAGACACUAAAAAGAAAGUAUUGAAAAAAGAAAGUAAGUAGGCACUUACUGACUUCAAUGAGAAAAAAUCUUAUAAGAAAAGUUACUGUAGUAUGAUCACAACUUUAUUAAUAGUAUUGUUAUUUCAUGAUACUGACAUGCUAAGUAAGGAGACGCAUAGCUGACUAAUCAAAGAGUAUAUCUUCAUAAACUACCCAAGAACCCUUUAUAAUUUGACCAGUUUGUAUACAGUAACAGUGCCUUGCAAGUGGAGCAUCCCCUGCCUCUCAGUUCCAGCAAAUUUACUUACAGGAAGUUUACAGCACAUUCUGUAUUUCAAUACCAGGCCUUGUAUUAGUGCCUGUGCCAACACAACUCCUUGCUCAGGCACUUACCAUCUGAAAACAGGAACAGGAUGAGAUAAAAUAGGCAAUAUUUAUGAAUUCAUUACAUGCAGUAAUUGCAAGUUUUAAAACUCUGGCAUUCUUGUAUAACACAUGCCCAGUAUUCUCCUUAAGAUUUCUUGAUGGAUGCUGAAGACAUGCAGGACAAAACUUCUUGAUAUGACCUGCCCCUCACCUACACAACAGACCACUGCGUUGUCUUACCGUAGACACAGUGUUGGAGGUUCUCCUGACAUGUGGCCACCAGCUUACUUAUUGUAUCACCAGCAUGUUUGUAUGACCCAACUAUUUCAACGAUGCAUGUUCCUGCCCCUGUGAGAUACAGCCCCAUGGCUACCAGACAGGCCACUUCAGGUCCUGGGACAGAGACAGCCUGGGUGCACCCCAGGAACUGGUGUGCAGUAACAGCUGUACAAAGCAGCCUAUACCCAGCCUACACACAAGGGGCCUUUUCAGAAGGAGCAGCAGGAGCUGCUUUGGCUGUAGAGCCCUGGUAGGCUGAGUGCAGGCCUGAAUGCAGAUAUCUCUCAGGGAGCAGCUGAGGGAGAAGUGCUGCUAGCCAGAACCAUGCGGGCUCUAGGGUUUCUGCUGCAGGAGACAUACAGCCCUGACAUACAAUUCAGCAGUCACGAGUUUUUCCCCACAAGAAUACCCACUCACACUCAGUGGGUCAAGAGACCUUGAGAAGUUUUGAAAGAGUCACAUUUCGCCAUUUUUCCGUAGCUUGAGUACCUAUCAAUUGUUGGGAAAUUGAUUAGAUAAAACAGAGGAACUUCAGAUUAAAAGUAUUAUCCCAAAUAACUAAAUCAACUUGGCAUCUAAAACAAAUCUAGGCAAGCCACACAGUGAUACUGAUUCUCUUUAGCGCUGAUAUUUAUAUUUGAACAACACACAGAGAGCUGAGAGCCUUCAUUUAGUAUCUUUUAGAGUAAAUGAUGAACACAGACCAGAACUAAUAAGGUAGUGCAAUGUGUAUGACUUGAUAUCCAUGUACAUUAAUACAGUUAUAUACUCAUGUACUAUCACAUGAGCAAAAUCAUAGAUUCCUGUGUGAGUGGUUACUGUUUUUGGUUGUCUUUACACAGAUAUUUAACAGAUCUGUGUAAAGAUUACUUCACAUUUCCCAUUCAUUUGAGCUAAGAGAAAACAGAAACGUAUGUGAAACUGCCACUUCAAUAACCUCCAAGUGAGCUGUUAAAUGAGGAGACUGCUGCAAAGACUUGCUUACUGAUGGAUUCAUCAGUGUCUGCAUGAUUUUCAGAGCGUUCCAGGUGUGUGUUCUUUACCCUCUGCUUCUUCAUUCCUUCCUGACUCUUCCCAUAUUUUGCUUAGGUAUUGAACAUAUAAGUCAUGUAUAUAACUUGAAAUAUAUAAAUAUAUGUAUGUGCACACAUAUAACAUACUUAAUUGCAUUUUUAUAUAUGUACAUAUAAUAUGUAUAUGUAUUCAAAUAUAAGUAAUAAUUUUCCAUAUAAAAUACACUUGUCCUAUAUAGAUUCCUUAAUUGUUAAUGAGAGCUUUUCAGAGUGCAUUAUAUGGAUUUUCCCUGGAACAGGAGAAAUAAAAAAAAUUGUAUAAGAUUUUAAAUGCUUUAGGUAUCAGACAGAAAAACUCUCCACCUUCCCUAGAUAAAAUAUUUCAGUAUUAAAUUUUAACUGACAAACAAAAAUGAGGAAAAUAUUUACUGAUACUGAAUAUGCCUGUAGGGUGAAAAGAAAGGUAUUAAAAAUAAUAAAACCACUCUACUUAUGCACUAAAAUACAACAUAACAUUUGGUUCAUGGAAAUUAUUUUGUUUCAAAGUAAGAGUGCAUGUUCAAAUGUGAGAGAAGAACGUGCUGAAAUAAACAGACUCUGUAUGUUACAAAAGAGAAGGAAUUUUGCAACUGCAUUUCAGCGACCCUUCACAAACUCCCAUUCAGAGUUCCCAAAAAUGUAAGAACAGCAUCUCAAGUUGGCUCCUGGGAAGCAAAGGAAUUGUUAAGUAGGGUCCAGCAAGCAGAAAAUACAAGCCUCAGUCCAACCUGAAAAGGAUUUCUGCUAAAAACCAAGUUUAGUGAAUGUGCAGUUAAAAAAAAAUGCUUGAGCAUUUUCUUCUUUCGCUAGAAUAUUGUUGAUCAGGCAACUUCAACAGGACAGCCAAAUGAAUAAACCGCAACAAAUGCAUAUUAUGCACAUUGAAAUGAUGACACCAGAGGGAAAAAAAAGAGCCAGUUCCUACCAGUUUG